rnacentral:rRNA from 1 species
GGUAGAUCUGAAAAUUAAAAAUUUUGGCGGUGAUUCAUCUAUAUAGAGGAACUUGUCCUGUAAUAGAUGAUCCUCUAAUAAUCUUAUUUAAGUAAAGGUUCAUAUACCGUUGUUGUUAGAUUACUUAGGAAAUUUUUUAAGUAUUCUUAUUAGUUCAGUGGGGCUAAUACUUCAAAUCAAGGUGUGGUAGAUGCUUAAGUAUGAGAUGAGUUACAGUUAUUUUAUUAAUGGAUGUAUUUAUGAAUUAAUGGUACUGAAAUUGGAUUUAUUAGUAAGGUUAGAUUAAUGAGUUAGUUUGAAUUAGGCUCUGGAUCAUGUACAUAUCGCCCGUCGCUCUGGUUGUUAAAUGCUAGAUAAGUCGUAACAAAGUAGAUUUAAGGGAACUUGAAUCUGGAGAG